rnacentral:tRNA from 1 species
CACAGGGGACUAGCUCAGUUGGUAGAGCAGCGGAUUCCAAAUCCGCAGGUCGUGGGUUCGAGUCCCUCCGCCCGUGCU